rnacentral:rRNA from 1 species
UACGUAGGGUGCAAGCGUUAAUCGGAAUUACUGGGCGUAAAGCGUGCGCAGGCGGUUUUGUAAGACAGAGGUGAAAUCCCCGGGCUUAACCUGGGAACUGCCUUUGUGACUGCAAGGCUUGAGUGCGGCAGAGGGGGAUGGAAUUCCGCGUGUAGCAGUGAAAUGCGUAGAUAUGCGGAGGAACACCGAUGGCGAAGGCAGGUCUCUGGGCUGACACUGACGCUCAUGCACGAAAGCGUGGGGAGCAAACAGG